rnacentral:rRNA from 1 species
UACGUAGGUGGCAAGCGUUGUCCGGAUUUAUUGGGCGUAAAGGGAGCGCAGGCGGUGACUUAAGUCUGAUGUGAAAGCCCACGGCUCAACCGUGGAAGGUCAUUGGAAACUGGGUCACUUGAAUAUAGAAGAGGAAAGUGGAAUUCCAUGUGUAGCGGUGAAAUGCGUAGAUAUAUGGAGGAACACCAGUGGCGAAGGCGACUUUCUGGUCUAUUAUUGGCGCUGAGGCUCGAAAGCAUGGGUAGCAAACAGGAUUAGAUA